GAAGUGCGAUAAGCAGUGCGAAUUGCAGAACCGUGAGUCAUCAGAUUUUUGAACGCAACUGGCGCCGUGUGGGGUCACCCACCGGCACGCCUGGUCCAGUGUCUUGUUCUCUCCUCACCCAAAUCUUAAUGCGAGAGAUGCCCUUCUCUUGCUAAGCAUGAAAGCACUCUGCACUCUGCGAGCAACCUUCGGGUUCGCACUCAAUGCAGCAGUCACAUUGCUCACAAUGUGAACUCAUUGAGAGUGGAGGCAGUGCAGCAAUAGCUGCCAGUGCUUAGAAACACCAACUUAGGUACAGUAUCUGGGCUCAGGUGGGACUACCCGCUGAACUUAA
rnacentral:misc_RNA from 1 species